AUUGAACGCUGGCGGCAUGCCUUACACAUGCAAGUCGAACGGCAGCACGGGUGCUUGCACCUGGUGGCGAGUGGCGCACGGGUGAGUAAUACAUCGGAACAUGUCCUGUAGUGGGGGAUAGCCCGGCGAAAGCCGGAUUAAUACCGCAUACGAUCUACGGAUGAAAGCGGGGGCCCUUCGGGCCUCGCGCUAUAGGGUUGGCCGAUGGCUGAUUAGCUAGUUGGUGGGGUAAAGGCCUACCAAGGCGACGAUCAGUAGCUGGUCUGAGAGGACGACCAGCCACACUGGGACUGAGACACGGCCCAGACUCCUACGGGAGGCAGCAGUGGGGAAUUUUGGACAAUGGGCGAAAGCCUGAUCCAGCAAUGCCGCGUGUGUGAAGAAGGCCUUCGGGUUGUAAAGCACUUUUGUCCGGAAAGAAAUCCUUGGCCCUAAUACGGUCGGGGGAUGACGGUACCGGAAGAAUAAGCACCGGCUAACUACGUG
rnacentral:rRNA from 1 species